rnacentral:rRNA from 1 species
UGUGGCCAUAAUACCAUGAACACAACCGAUCUUGUCUGAUCUUGGAAGUUGGGGCUGGUUAGUACUUGGAUGGAAGACUUGAGAAAUAAAUAAUAAUUU